CUAUUGUGCUAGAUGUCCCAUCUAGUUUGACACAAAACGAGUAAAAAAAUUGUGUACUUAUUGUGGCUUUAUGCAAGACAAAGACACCACAGAUUUCGGAUUACCCAAAUGUAAUCCUAAAAAUUUAAAAAUCAAUUCGGGUACAUCCAAUGUAUGCGUUGUCCUGUUGAGUUUGAACAUACUUCGUCGGGUCUCACUUCGUUUGUAUUUUUUGACUUGGUCUCGACAGACCCACAUUUCAUAUCUCACACGCCUUCCCUUAUUAAAUAGGAAACUAUCCCAGCACUUUCGAUUAAAUUUAUUCUAGAAAUCGACAACUUUAAUGGCACGCAUUUGACUGUUCCAAUUUUUUUCAUUCCUAUUAAGAAUUACAUUUAUAUGACUGAUUUCCGGACACCCAAAUGCAAAAUUCUCCGUGGGUGCUCAGAUCCGUGAUAAAUUAAGCUCCUUCAUCUUCUGAUCCGUUGAACAAUUUGUCUCUCUUGUUGCCUGAUACUGAUAUUUUUUCUAGGCCCAAAAAUGUGCGGGAUUUUCGCAUACCUGAAUUACAAUGUGUCUCGAGAAAGGAGAUACAUUAUGGAGCUUCUGUUCAAUGGUCUCAGGCGCCUUGAAUACAGAGGUUACGAUUCUGCAGGCAUUUCUAUUGAUUUGCAUCCAACAAUGGACUCCCAUUGUUCUGAAUUUCAGCCCACUCUUUCUUCUCCUCUGGUGUUUCGGCAAGCGGGAAAGAUUGAUCAUCUCGUGAAGUCUGUGUAUCAAGAGGUGGAUGCAAGUGAUUUGAAUAUGGAAGAGUCAUUCACAAAUCAUUUGGGCAUUGCUCAUACGCGUUGGGCAACACAUGGGCCUCCUUCUUCCAGAAACAGUCAUCCACAGUCUUCAGGGAAGGACCAUGAAUUUUUGGUUGUUCACAAUGGUAUCAUCACCAAUUAUGUGGUUUUGAAGGAGACUCUACUUCGACAUGGUUUUGUGUUUGAGUCAGAUACUGAUACAGAAGUAAUUCCAAAGCUGGCAAAGUUUGUUUUUGACACACUGACAGAACAGAAGAUAAAAGAUGGAAACAACAGUGAGCAAGUUCCCUUUAGACAAAUUGUCAUGGAGGUCAUGAGUCAUCUUGAAGGAGCAUAUGCACUCAUUUUCAAAAGUCCACACUACCCAAAUGAGGUGGUUGCAUGUAAACGUGGUAGUCCACUGUUACUGGGUGUUAAGGAAGUGGCAGAAGAUGGCAGUAGGGGAGCUUCUUUUAACGGGAAAUUUAUAAAGAAAACAGAGGAUGGAAAGCCCAAAGAGUUUUACUUUGCAAGUGAUCCUAGUGCAUUAGUUGAGCACACAAGACAAGUGAUGAUCCUCGAAGAUAAUGAUGUUGCUCACAUUAAGGAUGGGGAUGUUUCUGUAUAUAAGUUUGAUUUUGGCAAAGCGAAGACAAUUGGUGGAUUGGCACGUCCUGCUUCUGUACAUCGUGCUUUAUCUAUCUUAGAGAUGGAAGUUGAACAAAUAAAGAAAGGAAAUUAUGAGCAUUUCAUGCAAAAAGAGAUUCAUGAACAGCCUGAGUCUUUAACGACCACAAUGAGAGGAAGGCUUAUUAGAGGAGGAGACUCAAAGCUAAAAGGUGUAUUAUUAGGUGGCCUUAAAGAUUACAUGUGGACAAUCAGACAUUGCAGGCGAAUUGUUUUCAUUGGUUGUGGUACAAGUUAUAAUGCUGCUUUGGCAUCCAGAGCAAUUGUGGAAGAGCUUUCUGGUAUCCCUGUGACGAUGGAAAUUGCAAGUGAUUUACUUGAUAGGCAAGGGCCAAUUUAUAGAGAAGAUACUGCAGUCUUUGUCAGUCAGUCUGGAGAAACAGCAGAUACAUUAUUGGCCCUAGAAUAUGCUUUAAAGAAAGGAGCAUUAUGUGUAGGUAUAACAAAUACUGUCGGAAGUGCAAUAGCAAGGAAAACACACUGUGGUGUUCAUAUCAAUGCAGGGUGUGAGAUUGGUGUUGCUAGCACCAAGGCAUAUACAAGUCAGAUAGCAGUAAUGGCAAUGUUGGCUUUGGCUGUUGGAGAUGAUUCGAUUUCUAGUCAAGGACGUAGAGAUAUAAUUUUAGAUGGCUUUUUUGACUUGCCAAACAAAGUCAGGGAGGUAUUGAAACUGGAUAGUGAAAUGAAGGAACUAGCAAAGCUCUUGAUGGAUGAGCAGUCACUACUAGUUUUUGGGCGUGGCUAUAACUAUGCUACAGCUUUGGAGGGUGCCUUGAAAGUCAAAGAAGUAGCACUUAUGCACAGUGAAGGAAUUCUUGCAGGUGAAAUGAAACAUGGUCCUUUGGCUUUAGUUGAUGAGACGCUUCCAAUUAUUGUUAUUGCAACUCAUGAUUCUUGUUUCGGAAAGCAACAGUCAGUUAUACAACAGCUUGAGGCACGCAAGGGACGAUUGAUUGUGAUGUGCUCAAAGGGGGAGGCAUCCUUGGUUUCUCCAAAUGGUGCUUCUCGGGUUAUUGAAGUGCCUCAAGUAGAUGACUGCCUUCAGCCAAUCAUUAAUAUCGUACCAUUUCAGCUUCUUGCAUAUCAUCUGACUGUUCUUCGUGGUUAUGAUGUCGAUCAACCACGAAACCUUGCUAAGAGUGUUACAACAGAGUAAAAGAUCUAAAAAGUAAAAAGCAGUUAAAUCCACAGACAACUGAUGAUAGAAUAGUCUAAUGGAUGAGAAAUUCUCCGUUUCAGUUUCAAUGGCAAAUUUAAUUUUUGAGAGUUGUACCUCAACAAUUUGGCUUGAAUAUGCAGUUUUACUGGGCAGAAGAGUACGUUUUGGAACUUGUAAUCUGGAUGCGUAUGCAUUUACGACGUUCUCCAUCUUUUGUCACGGAGCGGGAUUUGAGGCUAAUUGUAAUUUCUUGAGCUGUUAUUUACUAAACAACUAUAAAUGACACUUACGUCUAAUCCAUUGUUAAAAUGAUAUAUUUUUUUUAACUUUGGAAAGAACUAGAAUGUGUAGAUAUAGGCAUCUCUAUUAUUAGUUUACAAUGUGUAAGCAUAUAUUUAAAUCAGAAGCUGUGUUUUGAAUACAUUAUGAUGAGGUUAAGCAUACAUUUAAUCAGAAGUCAUCUUUUGAGGAUGACAUAAUCAAGGAACAUAUCAUCUUUCAGUUGA